GACGAACGCUGGCGGCGUGCUUAACACAUGCAAGUCGAACGAUGAAGCCUAAGCUUGCUUGGGUGGAUUAGUGGCGAACGGGUGAGUAAUACGUGAGUAACCUGCCUUUGACUCUGGGAUAAGCCUUGGAAACGAGGUCUAAUACCGGAUACGACCAAUCCUCGCAUGGGGUGUUGGUGGAAAGGGUUUUGUACUGGUUUUAGAUGGGCUCACGGCCUAUCAGCUUGUUGGUGGGGUAAUGGCUCACCAAGGCGACGACGGGUAGCCGGCCUGAGAGGGUGACCGGCCACACUGGGACUGAGACACGGCCCAGACUCCUACGGGAGGCAGCAGUGGGGAAUAUUGCACAAUGGGCGCAAGCCUGAUGCAGCGACGCCGCGUGAGGGAUGACGGCCUUCGGGUUGUAAACCUCUUUCAGCAGGGAAGAAGCGAGAGUGACGGUACCUGCAGAAGAAGCGCCGGCUAACUACGUGCCAGCAGCCGCCGUAACAC
rnacentral:rRNA from 1 species